CUAAGUACUGCCUUUUCAUAUUCAGACAGUGUAACUGUUUUUUGCUUUAGGUUUGUAGAAACCUCUAGAAAAGCUGAUCAUAAUGCUAGUUGGGUUUGGGGAGGAGAGAGGAAGGCUUAGUAGUAAGAAGCAACUGUAAAACUAAUCUUUCUGGUGGGACAGCAGCCAAAACCAGUUUGUGUUUAAGUGUAGAGAAGUAAAUUAUUGUGUUCCACAAAGUUAUUCAUUAGUGGGAGUGUAAUAGCACAGAUUACUGGUGGUUUUCUGGCUGUUUGCAUGUGCUCUGCUAAAUCUAUCCAUGGACAACUAAAUCAAAUGAAAACUAAAAAUAAAAAGCAUUAGAUAAACUGUUUAAACAACAACAAACCCUUAAAUUACACUCUGCAAAAAUCAGAUCUUUGAAAUAUCUAGUUCUUCAUUCAAGGAAAGUGGUUAUUUACCAAAAUGAAAGAACAUCCUUUAAAGAUGUUUAGAGAAGCUGUGAAUGUACUUUAAGUUUUGAAUUUCAGGAUUUUACAUGUGUUUCCCUCCCUUCUCCUACAAAUUACUGCAGAAGAGUUUAUGGCAUGAUUCAAACACUGGAUCUUUCUAUAACAUAUAUUGGUAGUACAUGGAUUAUGAACUUCAUUUAGUCUUGUUAUAAAGACUGCCUCGCUGCUCCAUGGUUAAGGUUGUGUUAAGAUUUUCACAUAAAGCAGAGAAUAAAAAUCUUUGCCACAUGUAAAUAACAAUGUAUCCUCCAACUUACCGCACUUAGUUUAUGAGUAAAGAAUUAAUUUUCAAAUAAAUUUUGUCAUACAAUUUGAGUUUUUAACAUUUUAAAACAGGUCCUCAGAGCAAUUUUUUGUUUAACCGACCCUGUUUUGGCUUCCUAUAUGGAAUACAUUCCUGACAGAUUUUAUCCCAGCUUUAAGUGCAUAUGUGCUUGUUUGUUAUCUUGUCUGUUUAUUACCGUAUAUUUGCUGGAUAUACUUAAAUGUUAGCAUUAACUAUUUCGCCAAUCAUUUUAAUUGACUUCUUUAAGUUGCAGAGUUAACACCCAUGUGGGCCAGUUCACAUUUCUGAGAAGCAAAAUUGUCUCUUCUGGCACUAUUGAUUUUACUUCUGAAUUCCUGGUCCUGUUCUUCUUGCCUACCCAGUCCCAGUCUCCACUCCUGAGGCUUCCCAUCUCAGUCUCUUUGUACAUCCAGUCCAAGUCUCUCUCCUCCCCACAGCUCCUCAUCCUAGUCUCCUUGUUCAACCAGUUUCAGCCUCCCCAUUCCCCUUUAGUUCCCAGACUCACAUAGCAUAUGAAGGAUUUGGGGAUGAGAUACUAUUAAUGUGUAAACUAUCCUUCUGGUAGUAUGUGCAUAUAACUCAUUAAAAUAUGCACUCAAAAGAAUAUACUUCUUGGCACAAGUUUCAGAUGUUAAUUGUAACA